rnacentral:lncRNA from 1 species
AUCACAAAACCUAAAGGAUCCCAUACAAUGUGGUUUGCUAGAAAUCUCUACAGAUGUGUUGGUCAGCCAGCCAUCUUGAAGGAUUACAGCAUAGAAUUAAUGAAGCUAAAGUCUUAGGGAACAAUUGUAUUCCAUUACAAUCAUAUGCUACAAAUUGUUCACCUCUUCCCCAAAUAAGAAACAUCCCUUCAGUUCUCAGUUAUUUGACAACACAAGAAGGGCUGAUGUAAAAUUUUUGAAGGAUUGUCCUUUUCUCCUCUCUUUGAUCACUGUGUGUGAAAAUGACAUCUGUUCCCUGAAAGAGAAAUGACAGAAUCUGAAUGCAGACUUCAAUGCAGAAUGCAGAAUCAAUAUCCAUUGAUUCUGUUUAGGGGAAAAAUGACACUUUCAGAAGCUCAGCAUUGAUUUCUGGAACCCAUACUAUGCAAGUCAAACUGGACUCAUUCAUUGUAAUCUACAGAGACCUUUUAGCAUUUUGCCACUGGCCCAGUUCCACUCCGUGACAAGUGAUCUAAAUAAAGCAAAAUAACAAAGCAAAGACUUUAUGAUUCUGCAAAAUUGCAAAACCCAACACACACUCACACACACACACACACACACACAUCAACUUUUCAGACUCCAGUCUUCAGCAUUAAUUGACUUUGAUGGACUUUGCAUGGAUUGUUUUUCAUCACCAACUGUUCUCCAAUCGAUCAACAUCCUUCUUGAGUUGGGGUACCCAGAAAUGAAAAUAUAGUAUGAAAAUGGAGGAUUUUCCUGGCACUAUCAACCCCUGUGUCCUAUAGACUCUGCCUUUUGAGUCAACCUAAGAUGACACUGCCUUUCUGGCUGAAAAUUUGAGAAACUAGCAAUUGCUUUCAACAUACAUUUUCUUGAAAUUUGGGCAAUGUUUCUUCACGAGGAAGGAGUUAAUUUUCCCAGUUGGAAUUCUCAGAGUUCACAUUCAACAGCCCAUGCAAAAGCUAAUGCAAGAGGUAUUAAAAUAGCCCAAAGUAAUUUCGUUAGGCAAUGAACCACGAUGUCUUCCCCGUUUGUUCUUGCUGAGAACACACUUGCCAGUUCACUUGGCAUCCAUCACUUUUAUUUUGUAUCAGAUACUCAUUGUCUAAAGUAAUAACAGAUAAGUGGGCCAAAGAAUAGAGGACUGCUGUGAACUGCUGACAUACUGAAGAAUGGGACAUUAGGUCCAAUUGUAUGGCGAGCCAAGGUACCCACUUCAAGCAUCAAAUUCUUUGCAGUAAGUAUGCUACUGCCCCCACACUUCUAUACAAGAGAGAGAGGGCUUAACAAUGGAGGGCUUAUAUCGGUUGAUCAAUGGCAUGGGCAGAGAUGGGAUGGCCUGUAUUUCAAUCAUGCCAUUACAUAGUUAGAAAUGUGAUGCUUGAGAGUUUUCUUCCAAAGAUCAAAAUAUGCUGGACUGUAUCCAAAUGAAAGAGAAAUUUUGAAGUUCCUUUUAAAAAUAUGUGAAUUGCUUUAGAAGCAGGGUUUUAUUUUUCUCACUGCCUUGUUUGUCUCAUCUUUAAAAUGUCAAUUUUGGACUAGGUCAGGAAUUCUUCUGUGUGUGUAUGUGUGUGUGUAUUUGUGUAUGUGCGUGUAUGUGUGUGCGUGUUAAGGAGUCCUUUGGCAUCCUGGUAAAGUCUAUGGAGCCCUUUUCAGAAUAAUGUUUUUAAAUGCAUAAAACAUUUAAAUGCACAAAAUAAA